AAUACCACAGAUGUAAACUGGACUGAAUUAAAAUACAUUGAAAAGUUUUAAACAUUGAAAGCAGACAGAAAGGGGGAUAUAUAUAACAUUUGGAUUCAAAGAAGACAAGAUGGCUGUCGUGCGGAUCAUAUCAAUGUUUGUGAUUCUUAUAGCAACGACAAAUACAGCUACACAAACAACAAUCACAGCUGCCCCAUCAACAACCACAGCUGCCCCAACAACAACCACAGAAGAAGCAAC